GGAGAGAUGGCUGAGCGGUUGAAAGCGCAGCAUUGGAAAUGCUGUUUAGAAUUUUUCUAACGAGGGUUCGAAUCCCUCUCUUUCCA
rnacentral:tRNA from 1 species